rnacentral:rRNA from 1 species
AGAGUUUGAUCAUGGCUCAGGACGAACGCUGGCGGCGUGCUUAAACACAUGCAAGUCGAACGGACGGACUUUGAAGAAAUCUUCGGAUGGACUUAAAGCGAGUUAGUGGCGGACGGGUGAGUAACGCGUGGGUAACCUGCCCUUUUCAUGGGGACAACAGCUGGAAACGGCUGCUAAUACCGAGUAAGCUCCAAUGACCGCAUGGUAAUUGGAGGAAAGAUGGCCUCUGCACAUGCUAUCGGGAAAGGA